rnacentral:rRNA from 1 species
UACGUAGGGUGCGAGCGUUGUCCGGAAUUACUGGGCGUAAAGAGCUCGUAGGUGGUUUGUCGCGUUGUUCGUGAAAACUCACAACUCAAUUGUGGGCGUGCGGGCGAUACGGGCAGACUGGAGUACUGCAGGGGAGACUGGAAUUCCUGGUGUAGCGGUGGAAUGCGCAGAUAUCAGGAGGAACACCGGUGGCGAAGGCGGUUCUCUGGGCAUUACCUGACGCUGAGGAGCGAAAGUGUGGGGAGCGAACAGG